UUAGUUUAACCUACAGUCACCAAACUCGGUACACUUAUUGUUCUCAUUAAACUGGACAACUUUCUCAUUUACAGUCAUUAGCUCUGACCAACAGGAAGUCAGAUAUUUUGGUUUAAAUGUGGAUUUUUCAAACAUUCUUACGCACACACUUAAGCUUUCUGAGACGUAGGGUCUCAGUCCCCCUACCCCCUCCCUCUCUGUGUGUGUGUGUGUGUGUGUGUGUGUGUGUGUGUGUGUGUGAGAGAGAGAGUGAGUGAGUGAGUGAGUGAGUGAGUGAGUGAGAGAGAGAGAGAGAGAGAGAGAGAGAGAGAGAGACCCUUGAUCAGUUAUUUAACUCUUUUAUUUGUAGGCCACUGACAACAUAGUAUUACAUUAUUAGUUUGAUAAUUAGGUUCAUUAAAAUAUAAAAACACACUGCAAAUGAUAACUUCACACUCAUUUGAAAUUGAACUAUGACACUUGUAACCCGGGUAAUCAGGUUGAUAUAAAGAAAGCUAAAGAAAAGAAAAAAAAGAGAGAAAAGUUCCAGAAGGAAAACUGUUUUGUCCAAUCACGGCGUUCAUUUCAGUGACUGACUCUCCUAAGAGCCAAUGUUAGCAGCACUCUCAUAAGGCCCGCCCACAGGCUGCGCCGGCGCUGUUGCACUGCGUGAGAGGCAAAGAGAGAGAGAACGAGUCUGACGAAGUAGAGACCCUCCGUAAAAGCUUUUAAUACAGAGAGAAAAGAGAUUAAAUGCAAUAAAUAGAUCAUAUUUCUGAACGGAUGUGGCCACAUGAAGCUGUCAUCGGGGUGAGAAGUCGACGAGGCACCAACGGAGAAUCAGAGUGUUGCAAAUGAGCUUGUUUCUUUGAAUGUGAAGUUAUUGCCUUGGACUCCAAACACCAUACUUACCUGCUCCAGUCGUCUCCUCCAUCUCCGUCGUCUCCAGUUCCCCUUGUGUGCCUACCUGCCUGUGUGUGUAAGUGUCUCCGCCGAUUCCUUCCAUCACAUCUCUUCAUCCGUAUCUGCAAGACAAAAUCAGGACAGUAUUACAUUCUCUUCAUCUCUCAAGAAUCCAUUAUCUGCUUACCAUCACCCUGUGCUCUGCUUUAUGUGAAUAAACUUACCUGGAUUGUUUUAUACCUCUGCCUCCGUGUCUCUGUUGUAACAACAACUAAUGCACAUUCUUUGCUCUACAUUUUUUAGAAGCAGAAGUGUUGUUAUUUUGUGUAAUUAAUUUAGAGAAGGUACACCGCCAUCAUACUCAGACAAAAGUGACUUGAACGUACAGUCGUACACACGACUUCCCACCUCGUAAAUACGAACGUCCCAGGAGGACUUGGACGCACCAUUAAUCCUUUUGGAGAAGAAUUGUCUGUGUAUCAGACGCAAUUAAAUGUGCACAAUGAUGAGCUACCCAUGGACCCGGUUCCACUUUGAACUGCUUUGAAAUCAUCAACUGGUAGGAAAAUUUAAAUUUUAUUUAUUUUAUUUUUUUGGACCCCAUAACAGUAUAUAUCAUGAGUAAUAAUCACACAACAUUUUUUAUGAAUAAGCAUUUAUUAAUAAAAAGUGAAAAAAAAAAAUGUAUAAAACUUUUCCUUCUAUCACUUUGAAUGUGAAUGUGGUUUGAAUGAAGUCUGUGUUUUGCAGUGAUAGUCCCUAAGACAGUUCUUUUCAUUUGAGAAGCACAGGCGAACAUGCACUUGAUACAGUGUAUUUGUGUAUCCAUUAUUGCAGUGUCUGCAGCAUCCUCUCUUCGUUUUUACUGGUAAAUGUGCAGUCAUGUCUUUGUGUACAUCCAGACGGGGUGGUCCGAUGACAUCUUGGCAUUCUGAAAUGGAAAAAGUAAAAAAAAAAAAAAAAAAAAAAAAAAAAAAAAAGUGAAUAAUACAUAUGGGUCUUAUAUUGUAGUAGAUAAACUGAAAAAAUAGACAGGGUGGUAGAACAUGUGUUGAGGGUAGAGAUCUAAGAAUUAUCCAUCAAAGUAUUAUAAUUUCAAUGCAAAUGCUAAUCAAAAUUCUAAUCAAAAUACUGUCUGGAUCACCUAU